rnacentral:tRNA from 1 species
GCGGAAGUAACUCAAUUGGUAGAGUCCCUGCCUUCCAAGCAGGUUGUUGCGAGUUCGAGCCUCGUCUUCCGCUCCA